UACGAAGGGUGCAAGCGUUACUCGGAAUUACUGGGCGUAAAGCGUGCGUAGGUGGUGAGUUAAGUCUGAUGUGAAAUCCCCGGGCUCAACCUGGGAAUGGCAUUGGAUACUGGCUCGCUAGAGUGCGGUAGAGGGUGGUGGAAUUCCCGGUGUAGCAGUGAAAUGCAUAGAGAUCGGGAGGAACAUCUGUGGCGAAGGCGGCCACCUGGACCAGCACUGACACUGAGGCACGAAAGCGUGGGGAGCAAACAGG
rnacentral:rRNA from 1 species